rnacentral:lncRNA from 1 species
CGGGAUGCCCAUUUUUGCCUAGACUAUUUUAUUCUUUUCGUCCAGCGGGUCUGUUAUACGAAGUAUUUUUUAACUGCGUCCGCAUUCACAAGGGAUGGAAAAUCCUCGCCAUCCAUGGUCGUCAACAACAAGGCUCCGCCAGAGAAGACCUUCUUGACCAAGAAUAGACCUUCAUAAUUGGGUGUCCUCAAGCCCCGACGGUCGUUCUGAGGAGGAAGGAUCCUUUUC